rnacentral:lncRNA from 1 species
UGGGGGGUGCCUGAGCCCUCCCCAUGCAAGGGGCUCAUCCUGGGACUCUGGAAGCUGCUUCCCUAAGGGCCCUUGCUGCGUGAUGGGGUCUCCAUGCACUUUAUUUAUUUGCAGUCUGUUUUCUAGGCGGUGGAGCUUCUAGACACCGACCGGAAUGACAUACGUUUCUGUGUGUGAUUCACUGUGUACUGGUCAGCACAGGCUGGCCAGAGAGAUGUUCUUGUUUCUGGUGUUGUCACGUCUUCUUGUUUUCUCUAAGUUUAAAAAAAAAAAAAAGUCCUUGGUUUAAUACACUAAAAUCCCAA